ACGAACGCUGGCGGCGUGCUUAACACAUGCAAGUCGAGCGGUAAGGCCUUUCGGGGUACACGAGCGGCGGACGGGUGAGUAAUGCCUAGGAAUCUGCCUGGUAGUGGGGGAUAACGUUCGGAAACGGACGCUAAUACCGCAUACGUCCUACGGGAGAAAGCAGGGGACCUUCGGGCCUUGCGCUAUCAGCUGAGCCUAGGUCGGAUUAGCUAGUUGGUGAGGUAAUGGCUCACCAAGGCGACGAUCCGUAACUGGUCUGAGAGGAUGAUCAGUCACACUGGAACUGAGACACGGUCCAGACUCCUACGGGAGGCAGCAGUGGGGAAUAUUGGACAAUGGGCGAAAGCCUGAUCCAGCCAUGCCGCGUGUGUGAAGAAGGUCUUCGGAUUGUAAAGCACUUUAAGUUGGGAGGAAGGGCCAUUACCUAAUACGUGAUGGUUUUGACGUUACCGACAGAAUAAGCACCGGCUAACUCUGU
rnacentral:rRNA from 1 species